rnacentral:rRNA from 1 species
UACGUAGGCAGCAAGCGUUGUUCGGAAUUACUGGGCGUAAAGAGUGUGUAGGCGGUGCUCUAAGUCUGUUGUGAAAUCUCCCGGCUUAACUGGGAGGGUGCGGCGGAGACUGGAGUGCUAGAGUGUGGGAGAGGUAAGCGGAAUUCCUGGUGUAGCGGUGAAAUGCGUAGAGAUCCGGAGGAACACCAGCGGCGAAGGCGGCAUCCUGGACUGGUCCUGACACUCAGGAGCGAAAGCGUGGGGAGCGAUCCGG